GACGAACGCUGCCGGCGUGCUUAAUACAUGCAAGUGGACGCAAGGGAACACACUGUGCUUGCACACCGUGUUUUCUUGAGUCGCGAACGGGUGAGUAACGCGUAGGUAACCUGCCUAUUAGCGGGGGAUAACUAUUGGAAACGAUAGCUAAUACCGCAUAAUAUUAAUUAUUGCAUGAUAAUUGAUUGAAAGAUGCAAGCGCAUCACUAGUAGAUGGACCUGCGUUGUAUUAGCUAGUUGGUAAGGUAAGAGCUUACCAAGGCGACGAUACAUAGCCGACCUGAGAGGGUGAUCGGCCACACUGGGACUGAGACACGGCCCAGACUCCUACGGGAGGCAGCAGUAGGGAAUCUUCGGCAAUGGACGAAAGUCUGACCGAGCAACGCCGCGUGAGUGAAGAAGGUUUUCGGAUCGUAAAGCUCUGUUGUAAGUCAAGAACGUGUGUGAGAGUGGAAAGUUCACACAGUGACGGUAGCUUACCAGAAAGGCGGCUAC
rnacentral:rRNA from 1 species